UUUAGAUUAAGAUUUUUUCAUUUGCAAGAAAUCACUACACUUUAAAAAGCCUUCGAACAUAUUUUUUAAUAUGAAGCAGAAAUUACUGAGAAUUCAUUUUUUAGACCAGCAGACCAUAUAUUAACCUCGUCUCAUAUAGUGAUAAAUCAGACCCCUUUAAUGGCAGCGGACUUGCCAGGACCAUCUUGAUUUAAAGGGGAACUAUGUUGUGAUAUUAUCCUUACUUAUCCUUGUAUUUACCAAAUCUAUUUUUGUGAGCUGUGGCAAAUAUAAUUAUAUUUAGAAAUCCACAACUAUUUGUCUUGCAACUGGAUGCCACCAUCGUGGGUCCCAUCUUAAGGCACAGCCAGGGCACAUGACUGUCUGAACUGGAUAAUGUAUAAAUGUACAAAAAUAUCCUCUUGUUUAUUUUAAUUGGUUUCCACUUAUAACACAUUGGUGUAAGGAUAGUGUGUAUAUAUACAUUUGAACUGGAUAAUGAUAUGAUUUGCUAAAUUUUCGAUAGGUUAUUUUCAGUGUUCUCUCAAAUUUCUAAAACUUGUGCUUUUAAAUGAGAUGCUCUGUGUUUUAUUCAGUUGUGUAAAUUCCAGAGAAUUGACCGUUCCCCUAUUAAGUGAGUUAUAAAAAAAAAAAAAAAAAGUCAAACUGAAUAAAGUUCACAAAGCUUGUCCUCACUGGCUAAAACCAGGCAAGAGAAACGUGGAGGAAAGAAACCUUUUAGAUUAUUCUGUGUAUAUAUCCUUUGUGGCCAGAAACAGGCACUUGUAUUCAGCAAAUUGAAACCUCAAAUAAAUGCAGUCUUGUUAAAGUAUAUUAUUACUUUCUCAAAAGACCAGUGCUGACAGUGUAUAGUCCAUAGUUUAUUGAGAAUAUUCAAGAAUAUUACUGAGCAGACAUCAUUUAUUUUGUUUGGACACCGUAAGUGUUUAGAAAAGGAU